rnacentral:lncRNA from 1 species
CUCGCUUACACUAAGUAUACCAUCAGUGGGAACUUUGCUUUCUGGUUGGGAAGUGUCUCUGUCCUUUUCACUUCUUAUUACUCCUUUCGUUCACUUUUUCUAACAUUUCUAGUACCAACUAAUUCAUUCGGGCGAGACAUCUUACGAUGUCAUGAUGCGCCCAUUCCUAUGGCCAUUCCUUUAAUACUUCUGGCUCUCGGGAGUCUCUUUGUAGGAUACUUGGCCAAAGUGUGACCUGUUAGCCCAUAAGUAAGUACUGUGACGAAGCGGCUGUUGCUCACCCGACACGAUCGUACGAGGUCACAAUUCACCCAACACGAUCAUCCGGGGUGAACAAGAAUUGGGGAUCGGAUGCGGGCGAAAUUCCCGCCAAGUCUCGGGAGUCUUUUUGUAGGAUACUUGGCCAAAGUGUGACCUGUUAGCCCAUAAGUAAGUACUAUGACGAAGCAAUUGUUGCUCACCCGACACGAUCGUACAAUCCUCCUUACUCGUUCCUAGGUCUUUUUUUUUAUCACCUUAUUUCAUUCACUGAUUUCUUUUGUAUAUGCACUCUUGAGCCAUGUUCGUCGCCCUAGGCUUACCAUUAUUUCAUUUCAUUCUAUUGAUUGGUUCUAGCUCCAAAGAACAUAUACAUGGAGCUAUGUCGACUUACGUACGUCUUGUUGACUAAACGAUCAGGUAUACCACGCCACGUAUCAAUCCAAAGAAUUAAUAUUCGCGAAAACUACUAAAAUUCUCGGAUCUCUACCAGGGACCAGGACAGGCACGAGAACUCAAAAUAUUAUUGGAAGCUCUUAUCAAAGGAUUUUACCUCUGUUGGACCUAAAGCCUUAAAAUCGGAACCUUAAAGGUAAAGGUCAGGCUGUGACUCCAUAUUUUUCAAAUUUCAAAUCGCUACGCCCCAGCAAGAAAACGGAUGCGCUAACGCCCUUAUUAGAAUAGGCUAGAGCGCUAGCGCAUUACCCCAACCUUCCCUACAGGCUCCUUGCUCCGGCAGCGCGACAACUGUCCAAAUCAUUUGACGCUUCUUCUCAUUGAGCAGCCCCUC